UCAUGAGCACAGAGCGAACAGCGAACUAUUCUUUCGCCUUUUACUAAAGAAUACCAUAUGCACAUCAUACACUUAUUUUUGAAGGGAACCUACUCCCUAAGUGGGUU
rnacentral:snRNA from 1 species